rnacentral:rRNA from 1 species
GACGAACGCUGGCGGCGUGCUUAACACAUGCAAGUCGAACGAUGAAGUUCCUUCGGGAAUGGAUUAGUGGCGAACGGGUGGGGAACACGUGAACAAUCUGCCCCUUACACGGGAAUAACUUCGGGAAACCGAAGCUAAUACCCGAUAUUGAAUUCGGUAGGCAUCUACUGAAUUUGAAAUGGUCCGCCGGUAAGGGAUGAGUUUGAGGCCUAUCAGCUUGUUGGUGAGGUAACGGCUCACAAAGGGGACGACGGGUAGCCGGCCUGAGAGGGCGACCGGCCACAGUGGGACUGAGACACGGCCCAGACUCCUACGGGAGGCAGCAGUGGGGAAUAUUGCGCAAUGGACGAAAGUCUGACGCGGCAACGCCGCGUGAGGGAUGACGGCCUUCGGGUUGUAAACCUCUUUCAAUCGGGACGAAGCGAAAGUGACGGUACCGAUACAAGAAGCACCGGCUAACUAUGUGCCAGCCGCCGCGGUAA